UACGGGAGGCAGCAGUGGGGAAUUUUGGGCAAUGGGCGAAAGCCUGACCCAGCAACGCCGCGUGAAGGAUGAAAUCCCUCGGGAUGUAAACUUCGCAAGAACGGGAAGAAUAAGUAGGGGACAAUACCCCCUAUGAUGACGGUACCGUUUGUAAGCUCCGGCUAACUCCGUGCCAGCAGCCGCGGCAAUACGGGGGGAGCAAGCGUUGUUCGGAUUUACUGGGCGUAAAGGGCGCGUAGGCGGUCAGCACAAGUCAAUUGUGAAAUCUCCGAGCUUAACUCGGAAAGGUCAACUGAAACUGUGCGACUAGAGUGCGGAAGGGGCAACUGGAAUUCUUGGUGUAGCGGUGAAAUGCGUAGAUAUCAAGAGGAACACCUGCGGCGAAGGCGGGUCGCUGGGCCGACACUGACGCUGAAGCGCGAAAGCCAGGGGAGCGAACGGGAUUAGAUACCCCGGUAGUCCUGGCCUUAAACGAUGAAUGCUUGGUGUCUGGGGUUAUAAAGUCCCCGGGUGCCGUCGCUAACGCUUUAAGCAUUCCGCCUGGGGAGUACGGUCGCAAGACUGAAACUCAAAGGAAUUGACGGGGACCCGCACAAGCGGUGGAGCAUGUGGUUUAAUUCGACGCAACGCGAAGAACCUUACCUGGGCUAGAAUGCCUCUGACAACCCUAGAGAUAGGGCCUCCAAGGUAAAACUUGGCAGAGUGCAAGGUGCUGCAUGGCUGUCGUCAGCUCGUGUCGUGAGAUGUUGGGUUAAGUCCCGCAACGAGCGCAACCCUUAUCUUUAGUUGCCAGCAUUAAGUUGGGCACUCUAGAGAGACUGCCGUUGACAAAACGGAGGAAGGUGGGGAUGACGUCAAGUCCUCAUGGCCUUUAUGUCCAGGGCUACACACGUGCUACAAUGGCCGGUACAAACCGCCGCAAACUCGCAAGAGGGAGCCAAUCGGAAAAAGCCGG
rnacentral:rRNA from 1 species